GACGUAGGGCGCGAGCGUUGUCCGGAUUUAUUGGGCGUAAAGAGCUCGUAGGCGGCUUGUCGCGUCGACUGUGAAAACUCGGGGCUCAACUCCGAGCUUGCAGUCGAUACGGGCAGGCUAGAGUGUGGUAGGGGAGAUCGGAAUUCCUGGUGUAGCGGUGAAAUGCGCAGAUAUCAGGAGGAACACCGGUGGCGAAGGCGGCUACCUGGACAGAAACUGACGCUGAGGCGCGAAAGCUAGGGGAGCAAACAGG
rnacentral:rRNA from 1 species